GAUAGACAUCUGGGCAAGUCAACAGGAAGGUGGAUAUCCAAAUCUCUCUCUUCGCAAUGAGUUUCCAGUUAGAUGGAGGAGAGAGUAAUAAAACACAGAGCUGAGAUUCCUGACUUCACAGAUCCCUGAGGAGAUGUUUACUAAAGGGAAUCUUCUGGUCACUGUUACCUUCCUCCGUACUUACCUGCCUCAUGGAUAACACUGAAGAAUGCAGUUUACUUACAUCUUUUUCUGUUUGACAGAAGACAGUUAUUAGAACCCGAAAGGAAGAAGCUAUACGACUGGGGACACAUGUCUUAGAAGCACACUCAUUAGAUAAAGUGUCGCAUACUCUUUGAUAAGGUUCUCACACUGUUGCCCAGGCGGGAGUGCAGUGGCACAAUCUCGGCUCACUGAAACCUCCACCUCCCAGGUUCAAGCGAUUCUCCUGCCUCAGCCUCUUGAGUAACUGGGAUUACAGGUGCCCGCCACCAUGCCCGGCUAAUUUUUUGUAUUUUUAGUAGAGAUGGGGUUUCACUAUGUUGGCCAGGCUGGUCUCGAACACCUGACCUCAUGAUCCAUCUGCCUCAGCUCCCAAAGUGCUGGGAUUACAGGUGUGAGCCACUGCACCCAGCCGAAAUAUUUUCUUUUCUUUUUCUUUCUUUCCUUCUUUUUAAAAAAAUUCUGUAGCUGAUCCCUGAUGGCUUUUAAUUUGAAUAAAACUUUAUUUAAAGAAAGUGUUUAUUCAUUGAUACGAAUCACACAGAGUAUAAUUUCAAGCCCAUUACCAUGAAGAUAUUUUCCUAUGUUUUACUCCAGAAUUUUUAAUUAUUUUAUCUUUCAAAUUUAGAUCUAUAUUCCAGCUAGAAUUGU
rnacentral:lncRNA from 1 species